UGGGGAAUAUUGCGCAAUGGGGGAAACCCUGACGCAGCAACGCCGCGUGAGUGAGGAAGGACUUCGGUCUGUAAAGCUCUGUUAAUGUGGAAAAAUGUUAGUUGGUCUAAUAGGCCGAUUAAUUGAUGGUACACAUAGAGGAAGCACCGGCUAACUUCGUGCCAGCAGCCGCGGUAAUACGAAGGGUGCAAGCGUUGUUCGGAUUUAUUGGGCGUAAAGCGCGCGUAGGCGGACCUGCAAGUCAGAUGUGAAAUCUCGGGGCUCAACCUCGAAACUGCGUCUGAAACUACAGGUCUAGAAUCUUGGAGGGGGAAGGGGAAUUUCGCAUGUAGGGGUAAAAUCCGUAGAUAUGCGAAGGAACACCAGAGGCGAAGGCGCCUUCCUGGACAAGUAUUGACGCUGAGGCGCGAAAGCGUGGGGAUCAAACA
rnacentral:rRNA from 1 species